rnacentral:rRNA from 1 species
UACAGAGGGGGCAAGCGUUGUUCGGAAUUACUGGGGCGUAAAGCGCGCGUAGGCGGCUUUGUAAGUUAGAGGUGAAAGCCCAGGGCUCAACCCCUGGAAUUGCCUUUAAGACUGCAUCGCUUGAACAUCGGAGAGGUAAGUGGAAUUCCGAGUGUAGAGGUGAAAUUCGUAGAUAUCGGGAGGAACAUCUGUGGCGAAGGCGACUGCCUGGACCAGCACUGACACUGAGGCACGAAAGCGUGGGGAGCAAACAGG